AGCAGCCGCGGUAAUUCCAGCUCCAAUAGCGUAUAUUAAAGUUGUUGCAGUUAAAAAGCUCGUAGUUGAAUUUUUGAUUCUUCCAAUUGGUCCAUCUUUUAGAUGAGUACUGGUUGUGUGGGGUCUAUCCGCCUGGUGAUACGUAAUGUCCUUUAUUGGGUGUUGCGGGUAGUCAGGACGUUUACCUUGAAAAAAUUAGAGUGUUUAAAGCAGGCUUAUGCCGGAAUACAUUAGCAUGGAAUAAUAGAAUAGGACGAAGUUGUUUUAUUUUGUUGGUUUCUAGGACAACCGUAAUGAUUAAUAGGGAUAGUUGGGGGCAUUAGUAUUCAAUUGUCAGAGGUGAAAUUCUUGGAUUUAUUGAAGACUAACUAUUGCGAAAGCAUUUGCCAAGGAUGUUUUCAUUAAUCAAGAACGAAAGUUAGGGGAUCGAAGACGAUCAGAUACCGUCGU
rnacentral:rRNA from 1 species